UACGGAGGAUCCAAGCGUUAUCCGGAUUUAUUGGGUUUAAAGGGUGCGUAGGCGGAACGAUAAGUCAGUGGUGAAAGCCUGCAGCUUAACUGCAGAACUGCCAUUGAUACUGUCGAUCUUGAGUACAUUUGAUGUGGGCGGAAUGUGUCAUGUAGCGGUGAAAUGCUUAGAUAUGACACAGAACACCCGAUUGCGAAAGGCAGCUCACAAAACUGUAAACUGACGCUGAGGCACGAAAAGCGUUGGGGUAUCAA
rnacentral:rRNA from 1 species